ensembl:snRNA U6 U6 spliceosomal RNA
UUAGGCAGCACAUAUACCUACUAACAUUGGGACGAUACAGAGAAGAUUAGCACGGCCCCUGCACCACUAUGACGCACAAAUUUGUGAGGUGUUCCGUAAAAAA